rnacentral:rRNA from 1 species
UCAGGAUGAACGCUGGCGGCGUGCUAACACAUGCAAGUCGAACGAGGCUUGCCAUCGGAAGUUUCGGAUGGAAGAAGGCAAGACCGAGUGGCGGACGGGUGAGUAACGCGUGGGGAACCUGCCCCAUUCCGGGGGAUACCAGUUGGAAACGACUGUUAAUACCGCAUAAGCGCACGGCAUCGCAUGAUGCAGUGUGAAAAAACCACGGUGGAAUGGGAUGGCCCCGCGUCUGAUUAGCCAGUUGGCAGGGUAACGGCCUACCAAAGCGACGAUCAGUAGCCGGCCUGAGAGGGCGACCGGCCACAUUGGGACUGAGACACGGCCCAAACUCCUACGGGAGGCAGCAGUGGGGAAUAUUGCACAAUGGGGGAAACCCUGAUGCAGCCGACGCCGCGUGAGUGAAGAAGUAUUUCGGUAUGUAAAGCUCUAUCAGCAGGGAAGAAGAUGACGGUACCUGCACAAGAAGCCCCGGCUAACUACGUGCCAGCCGCGGC